AGUUUGAUCAUGGCUCAGAUUGAACGCUGGCGGCAUGCCUUACACAUGCAAGUCGAACGGUAACAGGUCUUCGGAUGCUGACGAGUGGCGAACGGGUGAGUAAUACAUCGGAACGUGCCCGAUCGUGGGGGAUAACGAGGCGAAAGCUUUGCUAAUACCGCAUACGAUCUACGGAUGAAAGCGGGGGAUCUUCGGACCUCGCGCGGACGGAGCGGCCGAUGGCAGAUUAGGUAGUUGGUGGGAUAAAAGCUUACCAAGCCGACGAUCUGUAGCUGGUCUGAGAGGAUGAUCAGCCACACUGGGACUGAGACACGGCCCAGACUCCUACGGGAGGCAGCAGUGGGGAAUUUUGGACAAUGGGCGAAAGCCUGAUCCAGCCAUGCCGCGUGCAGGAUGAAGGCCUUCGGGUUGUAAACUGCUUUUGUACGGAACGAAAAGCCUCUUUCUAAUAAAGAGGGGUCAUGACGGUACCGUAAGAAUAAGCACCGGCUAACUACGUGCCAGCAGCCGCGGUAAUACGUAGGGUGCAAGCGUUAAUCGGAAUUACUGGGCGUAAAGCGUGCGCAGGCGGUUUUGUAAGACAGAGGUGAAAUCCCCGGGCUCAACCUGGGAACUGCCUUUGUGACUGCAAGGCUGGAGUGCGGCAGAGGGGGAUGGAAUUCCGCGUGUAGCAGUGAAAUGCGUAGAUAUGCGGAGGAACACCGAUGGCGAANGCAAUCCCCUGGGCCUGCACUGACGCUCAUGCACGAAAGCGUGGGGAGCAAACAGGAUUAGAUACCCYGGUAGU
rnacentral:rRNA from 1 species